CGGUGCUUUAACUUUUGCACGCGGUAACCGAGCACGGGGAAACUAUGCUCCCUGCUGGCGUAGGUGGCGUUACGGGUGUAGUAAUGCAUCCAGAACGUACCCAGUCGUGGCGGGAUAACGUAGCGAAAGUUACGCUAAUACCGCAUACGUCCUGAGGGAGAAAGCGGGGGACCGUAAGGCCUCGCGCGAUUGGAGCGGCCGAUGUCGGAUUAGCUAGUUGGUAGGGUAAAGGCCUACCAAGGCGACGAUCCGUAGCGGGUCUGAGAGGAUGAUCCGCCACACUGGGACUGUGACACGGCCCAGACUCCUACGGGAGGCAGCAGUGGGGAAUUUUGGACAAUGGGCGAAAGCCUGAUCCAGCCAUGCCGCGUGAGUGAAGAAGGCCUUCGGGUUGUAAAGCUCUUUCAGCCGGAAAGAAAUCGCGCAGGAUGAUACUCUGCGUGGAUGACGGUACCGGAAGAAGAAGCACCGGCUAACUACGUGCCAGCAGCCGCGGUAAUACGUAGGGUGCGAGCGUUAAUCGGAAUUACUGGGCGUAAAGCGUGCGCAGGCGGUUAUGUAAGACAGAUGUGAAAUCCCCGGGCU
rnacentral:rRNA from 1 species